rnacentral:rRNA from 1 species
GACGAACGCUGGCGGCGUGCCUAAUACAUGCAAGUCGAGCGAAUCUUUUGGGAGCUUGCUCCCGAAAGAUUAGCGGCGGACGGGUGAGUAACACGUGGGCAACCUGCCUAUAAGACUGGGAUAACUUCGGGAAACCGGAGCUAAUACCGGAUACGUUCUUUUCUCGCAUGAGAGAAGAUGGAAAGACGGUCUCGGCUGUCACUUAUAGAUGGGCCCGCGGCGCAUUAGCUAGUUGGUGGGGUAAUGGCUCACCAAGGCGACGAUGCGUAGCCGACCUGAGAGGGGGAUCGGCGACACUGGGACUGAGACACGGCCCAGACUCCUACGGGAGGCAGCAGUAGGGAAUCUUCCGCAAUGGACGAAAGUCUGACGGAGCAACGCCGCGUGAACGAAGAAGGCCUUCGGGUCGUAAAGUUCUGUUGUUAGGGAAGAACAAGUACCAGAGUAACUGCUGGUACCUUGACGGUACCUAACCAGAAAGCCACGGCUAACUACGUGCCAGCCGCCGCGGUAUAC